UGGGGCGUUCACCAGGAAUUCCGCUAGUUCUGAACUAUUUACACUUGAAAAAAGUUCACUACUAGCAGAACUCGGGUGCGCGCCCCCC
rnacentral:pre_miRNA from 2 species